CCCAUAACAGAAAAUCCCUAAUACGCAACGCAAAGGGUAAAAAGCUACCUACAAAAUACUCCGACUGCAGAACAGACAAUUACAAGCACCCGAACGAUUAAAAAAAUCGAAGAACUCACAACGCCGUCGUUUGACCAAACAAAAGGGAGAGAAGGAAAAAGAAACAAAACACAAUAUGGAAAAUGGGAAAAAUGAACGUGAAUUUUGGGAAGGGAAAAAUUUUGGAAAAAGAAAAUAAAAAUAAAAAUGAACUAAUUAACUAAUAUUAUUUUAGUAACAUAUCCCUAAAAUCACUCUAACUCCCCACUACCCCACUAACCAAAUCCAACCACCUCAGAAUUCCAACUCUACCGAAAAUUUAUCAGACAAUCGAGACAAAAAUUAACAUCCAAG
rnacentral:lncRNA from 1 species